UGCAGUCGAGCGCGGGAGCGAACGGAACUCUUCGGAGGGAAGUUCGUGGAACGAGCGGCGGACGGGUGAGUAACACGUAGGCAACCUGCCUGUAAGACUGGGAUAACUCGCGGAAACGCGAGCUAAUACCGGAUAACACUUUCUAUCACCUGAUGGAAAGUUGAAAGGCGGCUUUUGCUGUCACUUACAGAUGGGCCUGCGGCGCAUUAGCUAGUUGGUGAGGUAACGGCUCACCAAGGCGACGAUGCGUAGCCGACCUGAGAGGGUGAUCGGCCACACUGGGACUGAGACACGGCCCAGACUCCUACGGGAGGCAGCAGUAGGGAAUCUUCCGCAAUGGACGAAAGUCUGACGGAGCAACGCCGCGUGAGUGAUGAAGGUUUUCGGAUCGUAAAACUCUGUUGUCAGGGAAGAACAAGUACGAUAGUAACUGAUCGUACCUUGACGGUACCUGACCAGAAAGCCACGGCUAACUACGUGCCAGCAGCCGCGGUAAUACGUAGGUGGCAAGCGUUGUCCGGAAUUAUUGGGCGUAAAGCGCUCGCAGGCGGUUCUUUAAGUCUGAUGUGAAAUCUUGCGGCUCAACCGCAAACGUGCAUUGGAAACUGGAGGACUUGAGUGCAGAAGAGGAGAGUGGAAUUCCACGUGUAGCGGUGAAAUGCGUAGAGAUGUGGAGGAACACCAGUGGCGAAGGCGACUCUCUGGUCUGUAACUGACGCUGAGGAGCGAAAGCGUGGGGAGCGAACAGGAUUAGAUACCCUGGUAGUCCACGCCGUAAACGAUGAGUGCUAGGUGUUAGGGGGUUUCCGCCCCUUAGUGCUGAAGUUAACGCAUUAAGCACUCCGCCUGGGGAGUACGGCCGCAAGGCUGAAACUCAAAAGAAUUGACGGGGACCCGCACAAGCGGUGGAGCAUGUGGUUUAAUUCGAAGCAACGCGA
rnacentral:rRNA from 1 species